rnacentral:rRNA from 1 species
CGCGGCCUAUCAGCUUGUUGGUGGGGUAACGGCUCACCAAGGCGACGACGGGUAGCUGGUCUGAGAGGAUGUCCAGCCGCACUGGGACUGAGACACGGCCCAGACUCCUACGGGAGGCAGCAGUGGGGAAUCUUGCGCAAUGGGCGAAAGCCUGACGCAGCGACGCCGCGUGCGGGAAGACGGCCCUCGGGUUGUAAACCGCUUUCAGCAGGGACGAUCGUGACGGUACCUGCAGAAGAAGCCCCGGCCAACUACGUGCCAGCAGCCGCGGUAAUACGUAGGGGGCGAGCGUUGUCCGGAUUUAUUGGGCGUAAAGAGCUCGUAGGCGGUUUGGUAAGUCGGGUGUGAAAUCUCCACGCUCAACGUGGAGGGGCCACUCGAUACUGCCAUGACUCGAGUCCGGUAGAGGAGCGUGGAAUUCCCGGUGAAGCGGUGAAAUGCGCAGAUAUCGGGAGGAACACCCGUGGCGAAGGCGGCGCUCUGGGCCGGAACUGACGCUGAGGAGCGAAAGCGUGGGGAGCAAACAGGAUUAGAUACCCUGGUAGUCCACGCCGUAAACGUUGGGCACUAGGUGUGGGGCUCUAUCGACGGGUUCCGUGCCGAAGCUAACGCAUUAAGUGCCCCGCCUGGGGAGUACGG